rnacentral:rRNA from 1 species
AUUGAACGCUGGCGGCAGGCCUAACACAUGCAAGUCGAACGAGUGGCGGACGGGUGAGUAAUGUCUGGGAAACUGCCUGAUGGAGGGGGAUAACUACUGGAAACGGUAGCUAAUACCGCAUACCAUCGGAGGUGCCCAGAGGGGAUUAGCUAGUUGGUGGGGUAACGGCGCACCAAGGCGACGAUCCCUAGCUGGUCUGAGAGGAUGACCAGCCAGACUGGAACUGAUGCACCGUCCAGACUCCCACGGGACGCACCAGUGGGGAAUAUUGGACAAAGUGCGCAAGCCUGAUGCAGCCAUGCCGCGGGUAUGAAGAGGGCCUUCGGGUUGUAAAGUACUUUCAGCUGGGAGGCGUUACCCGCAGAAGAAGCACCGGCUAACUCCGUGCCAGCAGCCGCGGUAAUUC